AACCGGAUUAGAUACCCUGGUAGUCCACGCCGUAAACGGUGGGUACUAGGUGUGGGUUUCCUUCCUUGGGAUCCGUGCCGUAGCUAACGCAUUAAGUACCCCGCCUGGGGAGUACGGCCGCAAGGCUAAAACUCAAAGAAAUUGACGGGGGCCCGCACAAGCGGCGGAGCAUGUGGAUUAAUUCGAUGCAACGCGAAGAACCUUACCUGGGUUUGACAUGCACAGGACGACGGUAGAGAUAUCGUUUCCCUCGUGGCCUGUGUGCAGGUGGUGCAUGGCUGUCGUCAGCUCGUGUCGUGAGAUGUUGGGUUAAGUCCCGCAACGAGCGCAACCCUUGUCUCAUGUUGCCAGCGCGUUAUGGCGGGGACUCGUGAGAGACUGCCGGGGUCAACUCGGAGGAAGGUGGGGAUGACGUCAAGUCAUCAUGCCCCUUAUGUCCAGGGCUUCACACAUGCUACAAUGGCCGGUACAAAGGGCUGCGAUGCCACGAGGCUUAGCGAAUCCUUUAAAGCCGGUCUCAGUUCGGAUCGGGGUCUGCAACUCGACCCCGUGAAGUCGGAGUCGCUAGUAAUCGCAGAUCAGCAACGCUGCGGUGAAUACGUUCCCGGGCCUUGUACACACCGCCCGUCACGUCAUGAAAGUCGGUAACACCCGAAGCCAGUGGCCUAACCCUUGUGGGGGGAGCUGUCGAAGGUGGGAUCGGCGAUUGGGACGAAGUCGUAACAAGGUAACCGUA
rnacentral:rRNA from 1 species